ncrna:unclassified sequences raiA RNA
GCGCUUCGGGUCUGUGGUUGCAAAUCGAUGCCAGUCGCAGGCAAAACGAUCCACGUAAGCGAACGAAAUAGUCCGUGAGCAUGGUGCGGCUUAGACGUUAGUCCAACCGGCGCAUCUUUGCGUCGAGAGGGGUAGUAGUGGGGAGCGAAAUGCUUAUGAGCGAACCCUCCAGUUGGCGGGUGUGGGGGCAAAGACCAGGUCAGCCGAACCCC